AAAAUGUUGGCAGCUAAUCCCGGACAGGUGGUGGAAACUACUAAUUAAACUGGAGUAUGGUAGGGGGUAGAGGGAAUUUCGGUGGAACAGUGAAAUGCGUUUAGAUUAAAAAGAAUACCAAAGGCAAAAGCAUCUUGCUGGGCCGACAUUGACACUAAGAGACGAAAGUUAGAGGAGCAAUUGGGAUUAGAUACCACAAUAACCCUAGCUGUAAACGAUGGAUACUAGGCGCCCUUAAGUGAAAUUUUAAAUGGGCAACUGUACU
rnacentral:rRNA from 1 species